rnacentral:rRNA from 1 species
UGGGGAAUCUUGCGCAAUGGGCGAAAGCCUGACGCAGCAACGCCGCGUGAGCGAAGAAGGCCUUCGGGUUGUAAAGCUCUGUCAGGGGGAAAGAAGGCACCUGGGUUAAUAGCCCAAGGGCUGACGGUACCUCCAAAGGAAGCCACGGCUAACUACGUGCCAGCAGCCGCGGUAAUACGUAGGUGGCGAGCGUUGUCCGGAAUCAUUGGGCGUAAAGAGCGCGUAGGUGGCUUGUCAGGUCCGAUGUGAAAACCUGGGGCUUAACUCCAGGCCUGCAUUGGAAACCGGCUUGCUAGAGUCUGGGAGAGGAGAGUGGAAUUCCUGGUGUAGCGGUGAAAUGCGUAGAUAUCAGGAGGAACACCGGUAGCGAAGGCGGCUCUCUGGAACAGUACUGACGCUGAGGCGCGAAAGCUAGGGGAGCGAACAG